rnacentral:rRNA from 1 species
UACAGAGGCCUCGAGCGUUAGGCGGAAUCACUGGGCUUAAAGCGUGUGUAGGCGGAGUUCUAAGUACCUUGUGAAAUCCCACGGCUCAACCGUGGAACUGCUUGGUAUACUGGUUCUCUUGAGGUACCUAGGGGCGAGCGGAACAAGUGGUGGAGCGGUGAAAUGCGUAGAUAUCACUUGGAACGCCAACGGUGAAAACAGCUCGCUGGGGGUAUCCUGACGCUGAGACACGAAAGCCAGGGGAGCAAACGGGG